AGAGUUUGAUCCUGGCUCAGGAUGAACGCUGGCGGCGUGCUUAACACAUGCAAGUCGAACGAUCCUUCGGGAUAGUGGCGGACGGGUGAGUAACGCGUGGGAAUCUGCCCUCAGGAGGGGGAUAACGGCUGGAAACGGCCGCUAAUACCCCAUAUGCCGAGAGGUGAAAUGAAUUUCGCCUGAGGAUGAGCCCGCGUCUGAUUAGCUAGUUGGUGGGGUAAAGGCCUACCAAGGCGACGAUCAGUAGCUGGUCUGAGAGGAUGAUCAGCCACACUGGGACUGAGACACGGCCCAGACUCCUACGGGAGGCAGCAGUGGGGAAUUUUCCGCAAUGGGCGAAAGCCUGACGGAGCAACGCCGCGUGAGGGAUGAAGGCCUCUGGGCUGUAAACCUCUUUUCUCAAGGAAGAAGAACUGACGGUACUUGAGGAAUAAGCCACGGCUAAUUCCGUGCCAGCAGCCGCGGUAAUACGGGAGUGGCAAGCGUUAUCCGGAAUUAUUGGGCGUAAAGCGUCCGCAGGCGGCCUUGUAAGUCUGUUGUUAAAGCGUGGAGCUCAACUCCAUUUAAGCAAUGGAAACUACAAGGCUGGAGUGUGGUAGGGGCAGAGGGAAUUCCCGGUGUAGCGGUGAAAUGCGCAGAUAUCGGGAAGAACACCAGUGGCGAAGGCGCUCUGCUGGGCCAUAACUGACGCUCAUGGACGAAAGCCAGGGGAGCGAAAGGGAUUAGAUACCCCUGUAGUCCUGGCCGUAAACGAUGAACACUAGGUGUCGGGGGAAUCGACCCCCUCGGUGUCGUAGCCAACGCGUUAAGUGUUCCGCCUGGGGAGUACGCACGCAAGUGUGAAACUCAAAGGAAUUGACGGGGGCCCGCACAAGCGGUGGAGUAUGUGGUUUAAUUCGAUGCAGCGCGAAGAACCUUACCAGGGUUUGACAUCCUGCGAAUCCCUUGGAAACGAGGGAGUGCCUUCGGGAGCGCAGUGACAGGUGGUGCAUGGCUGUCGUCAGCUCGUGUCGUGAGAUGUUGGGUUAAGUCCCGCAACGAGCGCAACCCACGUCUUUAGUUGCCAGCAUUCAGUUGGGCACUCUAGAGAGACCGCCGGUGAUAAACCGGAGGAAGGUGUGGAUGACGUCAAGUCAUCAUGCCCCUUACAUCCUGGGCUACACACGUACUACAAUGCUACGGACAAAGGGCAGCAAGCUCGCGAGAGUUAGCAAAUCCCAUAAACCGUGGCUCAGUUCAGAUCGUAGGCUGCAACUCGCCUACGUGAAGGAGGAAUCGCUAGUAAUCGCAGGUCAGCAUACUGCGGUGAAUACGUUCCCGGGCCUUGUACACACCGCCCGUCACACCAUGGAAGUUGGCCAUGCCCGAAGUCGUUACUCCAACCCUUGUGGAGGAGGACGCCGAAGGUGGGGCUGAUGACUGGGGUGAAGUCGUAACAAGGUA
rnacentral:rRNA from 1 species